GAGUAACCUGCCCUUAACUCUGGGAUAAGCCUGGGAAACUGGGUCUAAUACCGGAUAGGAGCGUCCACCGCAUGGUGGGUGUUGGAAAGAUUUAUCGGUUUUGGAUGGACUCGCGGCCUAUCAGCUUGUUGGUGAGGUAAUGGCUCACCAAGGCGACGACGGGUAGCCGGCCUGAGAGGGUGACCGGCCACACUGGGACUGAGACACGGCCCAGACUCCUACGGGAGGCAGCAGUGGGGAAUAUUGCACAAUGGGCGCAAGCCUGAUGCAGCGACGCCGCGUGAGGGAUGACGGCCUUCGGGUUGUAAACCUCUUUCAGUAGGGAAGAAGCGAAAGUGACGGUACCUGCAGAAGAAGCACCGGCUAACUACGUGCCAGCAGCCGCGGUAAUACGUAGGGUGCGAGCGUUAUCCGGAAUUAUUGGGCGUAAAGAGCUCGUAGGCGGUUUGUCGCGUCUGUCGUGAAAGUCCGGGGCUUAACCCCGGAUCUGCGGUGGGUACGGGCAGACUAGAGUGCAGUAGGGGAGACUGGAAUUCCUGGUGUAGCGGUGGAAUGCGCAGAUAUCAGGAGGAACACCGAUGGCGAAGGCAGGUCUCUGGGCUGUAACUGACGCUGAGGAGCGAAAGCAUGGGGAGCGAACAGGAUUAGAUACCCUGGUAGUCCAUGCCGUAAACGUUGGGCACUAGGUGUGGGGACCAUUCCACGGUUUCCGCGCCGCAGCUAACGCAUUAAGUGCCCCGCCUGGGGAGUACGGCCGCAAGGCUAAAACUCAAAGGAAUUGACGGGGGCCCGCACAAGCGGCGGAGCAUGCGGAUUAAUUCGAUGCAACGCGAAGAACCUUACCAAGGCUUGACAUGUUCUCGAUCGCCGUAGAGAUACGGUUUCCCCUUUGGGGCGGGUUCACAGGUGGUGCAUGGUUGUCGUCAGCUCGUGUCGUGAGAUGUUGGGUUAAGUCCCGCAACGAGCGCAACCCUCGUUCCAUGUUGCCAGCACGUCGUGGUGGGGACUCAUGGGAGACUGCCGGGGUCAACUCGGAGGAAGGUGAGGACGACGUCAAAUCAUCAUGCCCCUUAUGUCUUGGGCUUCACGCAUGCUACAAUGGCCGGUACAAUGGGUUGCGAUACUGUGAGGUGGAGCUAAUCCCAAAAAGCCGGUCUCAGUUCGGAUUGGGGUCUGCAACUCGACCCCAUGAAGUCGGAGUCGCUAGUAAUCGCAG
rnacentral:rRNA from 1 species